ACUCCUACGGGAGGCAGCAGUGGGAAUCUUGGACAAUGGGCGCAAGCCUGAUCCAGCCAUGCCGCGUGAGUGACGAAGGCCUUAGGGUUGUAAAGCUCUUUAGCAGGGAAGAUAAUGACGGUACCUGCAGAAUAAGCCCCGGCUAACUUCGUGCCAGCAGCCGCGGUAAUACGGAGGGUGCGAGCGUUAAUCGGAAUUACUGGGCGUAAAGCGCAUGCAGGUGGUUUGUUAAGUCAGAUGUGAAAGCCC
rnacentral:rRNA from 1 species